rnacentral:lncRNA from 1 species
AGGAAUCAGGAAGUUCCAUUCGAUCCUGUCUUUUUCUUUACAAUCGAUCUUUAAUCUACUAAUGGUUGUUUUUUCUGUACGUACACACGCUCAUGCGACCUUACUCCCGUGGAGUUUCGAUCAAUCAAAAAAAAGAUACAAGACGAGGAGGACGGCGGCUUCAUCUUCUUCACAUCAAGCAGAGAGCACGAGUAACAGCGCCACUGUUUGCACGAGGGCCAUGGAAGCCGAGCUCCCGACAUGGCCAGUCCGCUGUCGCCUGUCUUCUUCGUCGCCAGCCGCCAAGGUCUCCAUGAAGUCGACUGCCACCUACCCGGCUUCACCAACCUCUGACGCGUCCAUCCACGCCAGAACCACACCUCCAGCGGCGUUCCCAAAUCCCGCCGUCGGCCUGAUGCUAAUGGUGCAGCAGUCCUCCCUUCCUGCUCCACAGAGACAUGAGCCUGGCUAGCAACGCGGAGCUUCUCGGCCCGAUCGUCCGCUCGACAGCGAUCUCCGUAGUGGAGGCUCCCCUCCUGCCGGCGUCGCAGGCACGCUGCACACUCCUCCCUCAUCAGCUUCUCCGACGUGGU